rnacentral:rRNA from 1 species
AGUGAACGCUGGCGGUAGGCCUAACACAUGCAAGUCGAACGGCAGCACAGUAAGAGCUUGCUCUUACGGGUGGCGAGUGGCGGACGGGUGAGGAAUACAUCGGAAUCUACUUUUUCGUGGGGGAUAACGUAGGGAAACUUACGCUAAUACCGAAUACGACCUACGGGUGAAAGCAGGGGAUCUUCGGACCUUGCGCGAUUGAAUGAGCCGAUGUCGGAUUAGCUAGUUGGCGGGGUAAAGGCCCACCAAGGCGACGAUCCGUAGCUGGUCUGAGAGGAUGAUCAGCCACACUGGAACUGAGACACGGUCCAGACUCCUACGGGAGGCAGCAGUGGGGAAUAUUGGACAAAGGGCGCAAGCCUGAUCCAGCCAUACCGCGUGGGUGAAGAAGGCCUUCGGGUUGUAAAGCCCUUUUGUUGGGAAAGAAAAGCAGCAGGUUAAUACCCCGCUGUUCUGACGGUACCCAAAGAAUAAGCACCGGCUAACUUCGUG